GAUGAAAACGCAGCGAAAUGCGAUAAGUAAUGUGAAUUGCAGAAUUCAGUGAAUCAUCGAAUCUUUGAACGCACCUUGCACCCUUUGGUAUUCCGAAGGGUAUGCUCGUUUGAGUGUCAUUGUACUCUCACACUUCUAAUUCCUUUCGGGAUUGGGAGCGGUGGACUUGGGUGUUGCUGCUUUAGUUGUGGCUCACCUCAAAUAAGUUAGUGCAACUCUUGGUUGGACAUAGUACGGCGUGAUAAGUGUCUUCGCCGGCGCCUCUGUAAGGAGGGUGGCCGAUCGGGAGCUCUGUGCUUCAAACCGUCUUCGGACAAUCUUUGACAACUUGACCUCAAAUCGAGUAGGACUACCCGCUGAACUUAAGCAUAUCAAUAAGCGGAGGA
rnacentral:misc_RNA from 1 species